rnacentral:rRNA from 1 species
ACAACUUUCAGCAACGGAUCUCUUGGCUCUCGCAUCGAUGAAGAACGCAGCGAAUUGCGAUAAGUAAUGUGAAUUGCAGAUUUUCAGUGAAUCAUCGAAUCUUUGAACGCACCUUGCGCUGUAUUCCGAGGAGCAUGCCUGUUUGAGUGUCAU